AAGUGUUCAAUAGGGGCAAUCUGAGAUCACAUGUUUGGCACUUUUCCUUUUUUUCUCGUGUGGUUUGAUAUCUUAAUAUGUGUUCUCAGGUCGCCCCUGUCGAACUAUU
rnacentral:pre_miRNA from 1 species